AUUGAACGCUGGCGGCAUGCUUUACACAUGCAAGUCGAACGGUAACAGGCCGCAAGGUGCUGACGAGUGGCGAACGGGUGAGUAAUGCAUCGGAACGUGCCCAGUCGUGGGGGAUAACGCAGCGAAAGCUGUGCUAAUACCGCAUACGAUCUAUGGAUGAAAGCGGGGGACCGUAAGGCCUCGCGCGAUUGGAGCGGCCGAUGUCAGAUUAGGUAGUUGGUGGGGUAAAGGCGCACCAAGCCAACGAUCUGUAGCUGGUCUGAGAGGACGACCAGCCACACUGGGACUGAGACACGGCCCAGACUCCUACGGGAGGCAGCAGUGGGGAAUGUUGGACAAUGGGCGCAAGCCUGAUCCAGCAAUGCCGCGUGCAGGAAGAAGGCCUUCGGGUUGUAAACUGCUUUUGUACGGAACGAAACGGCGAGCUCUAAUACAGUUUGCUAAUGACGGUACCGUAAGAAUAAGCACCGGCUAACUACGUGCCAGCAGCCGCCGCCG
rnacentral:rRNA from 1 species